GUAACAAAAACUGACUGGUAGACUCCUUAACUCCCUGACUUUUCCGUACAUUUAAUCAGUUAAGGGACGGUGAACCCUGAACUCUUUCAUCACCUGUGAAGAGUUUCGGAGUAAGUUCUGGAGGAGGUGGGCCUGGAUUGACCUAGCGGUCCACUUUCCCUCUUUAACUCAGAGCCCUCCUCUACCAGAUGGGGAUAAUAAAACGCACAACUUCUCGUGGUUCUUGUGGACAUUAAAUGAGAUAAUACCCCUCAAGUUCUGAGCCCAGGUCUGAUGUAUAGUAAGAGCAGAGUAACUGUCAACUGUCACCAGGUUAGCCUUGAGUAAACACAGAAUGGCCAAGCAAGUCUGGAGGAGUAUGGGUCUCUGAAAUAGGGAAUCACUGCAAGAAGUUCAAACAAUAAUUGCUGUCCCAUCAGCCCCGGUCGAAAGGAAUCAACAACAGAGAAAAAAAAGUAGUUUCAGGAUGAAAACAAAAUAGAACUUGCUCCUCCGACACCAAAGGGUUCCUACUGUGUUUUCUGUAGUUGUCAUCCGUCGGGCAGGGCCCUCGGCCUUAACACUGCCUUAGAGAUUCAGCCACCAGCAAACGACCUACGCUCAGGACACGUCCCUCCUCAUCUUCCCUGGCCCCUCACAGAUGGUUUGCAGUCCCCAGAGAAGGGGCCUGAGGAGGCACAUCACCGUGGAAGAUCUGUCCCCUCUCGUGGUGGCCCAAGGACAUGAGGAAGCGUCCAAGCUACUCUCCAGGUAUCGACCCGCUACCUCAUCAGAAAAGCAGAACAUUCAGAGCUAAGAGGAGGUCAGCAGCUACUCGUGUAUUCCUCUUACUUCACAAUGAAGAGGUGGUGAUAUAUUCAUGAGAGAGCAAGAGAUCAGAGUUGGCAUCGGCAGAAUCAGGACUAGAACUCCAGACUGGAAGUCAGUACCCGGUCUCCCGACUCUCUCUAUACCAGGUCAAGAUGGACCAGGUGGAGGGACCAGAACAAGAGUGAGGAGCGUGAGAAGCCAGCUGUUCCAGCACACCAGCCUUCUGAGUCUAGGCAGCAUCAACCGCCAGACACACAAACAAAUGAAUCUUGAGAUGAUUCAUGCCAAGCUUCAGGCCAUCCAACUGGAACCCCAGACAUCAUGAAGUAGAGACAAACUGUCCCUGCCAUGCCCUGUCUUAUGUCCUGAACAGAAUAAUAAAUGGGUAUUUAACAACGCUAAGCCUCA
rnacentral:lncRNA from 1 species